GAGCGAGCGGAACUAACAGAUUUACUUCGGUAAUGACGUUAGGAAAGCGAGCGGCGUAUGGGUGAGUAACACGUGGGGAACCUGCCCCAUAGUCUGGGAUACCACUUGGAAACAGGUGCUAAUACCGGAUAAGAAAGCAGAUCGCAUGAUCAGCUUUUAAAAGGCGGCGUAAGCUGUCGCUAUGGGAUGGCCCCGCGGUGCAUUAGCUAGUUGGUAAGGUAAAGGCUUACCAAGGCGAUGAUGCAUAGCCGAGUUGAGAGACUGAUCGGCCACAUUGGGACUGAGACACGGCCCAAACUCCUACGGGAGGCAGCAGUAGGGAAUCUUCCACAAUGGACGCAAGUCUGAUGGAGCAACGCCGCGUGAGUGAAGAAGGUUUUCGGAUCGUAAAGCUCUGUUGUUGGUGAAGAAGGAUAGAGGUAGUAACUGGCCUUUAUUUGACGGUAAUCAACCAGAAAGUCACGGCUAACUACGUGCCAGCAGCCGCGGUAAUACGUAGGUGGCAAGCGUUGUCCGGAUUUAUUGGGCGUAAAGCGAGCGCAGGCGGAAGAAUAAGUCUGAUGUGAAAGCCCUCGGCUUAACCGAGGAACUGCAUCGGAAACUGUUUUUCUUGAGUGCAG
rnacentral:rRNA from 1 species